UGCAGUCGACGAACUCUGGUAUUGAUUGGUGCUUGCAUCAUGAUUUACAUUUGAGUGAGUGGCGAACUGGUGAGUAACACGUGGGAAACCUGCCCAGAAGCGGGGGAUAACACCUGGAAACAGAUGCUAAUACCGCAUAACAACUUGGACCGCAUGGUCCGAGCUUGAAAGAUGGCUUCGGCUAUCACUUUUGGAUGGUCCCGCGGCGUAUUAGCUAGAUGGUGGGGUAACGGCUCACCAUGGCAAUGAUACGUAGCCGACCUGAGAGGGUAAUCGGCCACAUUGGGACUGAGACACGGCCCAAACUCCUACGGGAGGCAGCAGUAGGGAAUCUUCCACAAUGGACGAAAGUCUGAUGGAGCAACGCCGCGUGAGUGAAGAAGGGUUUCGGCUCGUAAAACUCUGUUGUUAAAGAAGAACAUAUCUGAGAGUAACUGUUCAGGUAUUGACGGUAUUUAACCAGAAAGCCACGGCUAACUACGUGCCAGCAGCCGCGGUAAUACGUAGGUGGCAAGCGUUGUCCGGAUUUAUUGGGCGUAAAGCGAGCGCAGGCGGUUUUUUAAGUCUGAUGUGAAAGCCUUCGGCUCAACCGAAGAAGUGCAUCGGAAACUGGGAAACUUGAGUGCAGAAGAGGACAGUGGAACUCCAUGUGUAGCGGUGAAAUGCGUAGAUAUAUGGAAGAACACCAGUGGCGAAGGCGGCUGUCUGGUCUGUAACUGACGCUGAGGCUCGAAAGUAUGGGUAGCAAACAGGAUUAGAUACCCUGGUAGUCCAUACCGUAAACGAUGAAUGCUAAGUGUUGGAGGGUUUCCGCCCUUCAGUGCUGCAGCUAACGCAUUAAGCAUUCCGCCUGGGGAGUACGGCCGCAAGGCUGAAACUCAAAGGAAUUGACGGGGGCCCGCACAAGCGGUGGAGCAUGUGGUUUAAUUCGAAGCUACGCGAAGAACCUUACCAGGUCUUGACAUACUAUGCAAAUCUAAGAGAUUAGACGUUCCCUUCGGGGACAUGGAUACAGGUGGUGCAUGGUUGUCGUCAGCUCGUGUCGUGAGAUGUUGGGUUAAGUCCCGCAACGAGCGCAACCCUUAUUAUCAGUUGCCAGCAUUAAGUUGGGCACUCUGGUGAGACUGCCGGUGACAAACCGGAGGAAGGUGGGGAUGACGUCAAAUCAUCAUGCCCCUUAUGACCUGGGCUACACACGUGCUACAAUGGAUGGUACAACGAGUUGCGAACUCGCGAGAGUAAGCUAAUCUCUUAAAGCCAUUCUCAGUUCGGAUUGUAGGCUGCAACUCGCCUACAUGAAGUCGGAAUCGCUAGUAAUCGCGGAUCAGCAUGCCGCGGUGAAUACGUUCCCGGGCCUUGUACACACCGCCCGUCACACCAUGAGAGUUUGUAACACCCAAAGUCGGUGGGGUAACCUUUUAGGAACCAGCCGCCUAAGGGGU
rnacentral:rRNA from 2 species